UACGGGGGGAGCAAGCGUUGUUCGGAUUUACUGGGCGUAAAGGGCGCGUAGGCGGCCACCGCAAGUCGACUGUGAAAUCUCCGGGCUUAACCCGGAAAGGUCAGCCGAUACUGCGGGGCUGGAGUGCAGAAGGGGCAACUGGAAUUCUCGGUGUAGCGGUGAAAUGCGUAGAUAUCGAGAGGAACACCUGCGGCGAAGGCGGGUUGCUGGGCUGACACUGACGCUGAUGCGCGAAAGCUAGGGGAGCGAACGGG
rnacentral:rRNA from 1 species